rnacentral:rRNA from 1 species
AUCAGACACGGUGUCAGCAGCCGCGGUAAUACGAAGGGUGCAAGCGUUACUCGGAAUUACUGGGCGUAAAGCGUAGCGUAGGUGGUUGUUUAAGUCUGUUGUGAAACGCCCCUGGGCUCAACCUGGGAAUUGCAGUGGAUACUGGGCGACUAGAGUGUGGUAGAGGGUAGUGGAAGUUCCCGGUGUAGCCGAGUGAAAUGCGUAAGAAGAUCGGGAGGAACAUACCAUGGCGAAGGCAGCUACCUGGACCAACACUGACACUGAGGCACGAAAGCGUGGGGAGCAAACAGGAUUAGAUACCCGUGGUAGUCCACGCCCUAAACGAUGCGAACUGGGAUGUUGGGUGCAAUUUGGCACGCAGUAUCGAAGCUAACGCGUUAAAGUCGACCGCCUGGGGAGUACGGUCGCAAGACUAGAAACUU